UCUCUGGUGGCCUACGUGGCAGAGCGUUUGCCUCGGAUGCGGGAGGUCGUGGGUUCCAUCCCCGUCUGAGUGAU